rnacentral:piRNA from 1 species
UGCUGACGGAGAAAGAUGCGAGCCAUGC